UGAGACGUUGUGUAAUUGGUUAGCACAUGUGACUUUGACUCACAUAGUUAGGGUUCGAGCCCCUACGUCUCUG
rnacentral:tRNA from 1 species